UACGGGGGGGGCAAGCGUUGUUCGGAAUUACUGGGCGUAAAGGGCGCGUAGGCGGCCACCGCAAGUCGACUGUGAAAUCUCCGGGCUUAACCCGGAAAGGUCAGCCGAUACUGCGGGGCUAGGGUGCAGAAGGGGCAACUGGAAUUCUCGGUGUAGCGGUGAAAUGCGUAGAUAUCGAGAGGAACACCUGCGGCGAAGGCGGGUUGCUGGGCUGACACUGACGCUGAUGUGCGAAAGCUAGGGGAGCGAACGGG
rnacentral:rRNA from 1 species